CAAAGUGCUGCCGAUAAAAAGUAUAAAGGAGAAAGUAUUAAGUUAUGUUGGGUUAGGCAAACAGGCUGAUUUCUCGUUAGGUCACGAAUAAGCGAGAGACGCCUGUCCGUUGUUUUGCCAAGAACUGGUAUGGAUCAAAAAGACCUGAGGUAUGGCAACCGAGAUGCUUUAAAGUUAGUCUGGCAAAAGCUGGACAGUAAAGCAGAUGUGUAUAUAUGUAUGUACCUGUGAGUAAUUUUGGACAGCAAACUGACGUGGAAACUCAGUGUGGAAGGGAAGAUGAAAAAAACCAGUGCUGCUCUCUGCGCAUUGUGGUUGACCGCUGCUGAUAAAAUCUUAUACUGCACUCUGCAUAUCCGAAACACUAGGAAUCACUCCAACGGCCUCCACCACAAAGGUUACUCAACCUGCCGCCAAUUGACAUUACAGUAGAAAGCUCGGCAGCGAAAUCAGCUGCAAGAUUGGUGGCGUUAAGCGAAUUUUCCACAAGAAUUUUCGAACAUAACUCGAUAGGCAGGGGGUCGGUAGAUAAAAUACACCUUAUCUGGGAGAGAAGGUUUCACUAAAAGAAGGUGGAUGGUGCAAAAGCAUGCGAAUCACCAGCAGCAAUAUCUACACGAACGGAUCAAAAACAGCUUAUGGAGGGGGCGACGGGAUCUUUUGCGUUGAGCUAGAUCUCAGGCGACCCUUCCAGCUACCGGAGUACUGCAGUAAACUCCAGGCAGAAGUAUUUGCAGUCAGGAAAGCUGAUAUCGAAACGGCAAUAAAAGCAAUAAUCUCAUAUCGCAUUGCGUCAGAGAAUGACUAUAGAAGCAAGGAGGCUGCAGAUAUAGUGACUGCCAGAAAGCGAACGGAUAUAUGCUGGGUUCCAGACCACAAAGGCGUUUCGGAAAGCGAAAUAGCCGAUGAUGAUGAUAAGAUUGCCAAUCGUAUCACCCGCUUGACCGAACCAGUUCAAGAAAUACGCAUGUUGCUAACGACGGUACACAAUGAAAUUCCCGAAAAGGGUAACAGACGGAGGGUGGGCCAGCUAGAAUGCUUUAGGUACCUGUAUGACAUAAACUUCCGCUUGUAUUAAUAGUUAAACUCCAUCUGACAUUACAAAGGAACUAUAGCUCUAUGUAUGACGUGAAAUUGAGCCACUUUAGUCUAACCUAACCUAUUUUACCGCUCAUCAACCAUCGAUCGAUAAGUCUUGCGUUUAAACGAAACUUUGAAACAGCUUUAGUAGCCUAAAUAAGGCGUUAGAAGAAAACAUUGUGCGAGUUUUCAUCCAAGAAACAAAUGUUUUGAGUAGCACCUUUGCACCUGACUCAUGCGUGCAAGGUACAUCACUAAUGACAGCAGUUAUAAAUGCAAUGUCUCACAUCACAUUUUUAUUUACAUACAAACUUAUGCAUAUAAAAAAGAGUAAUAGUAAUAAAAUAAGUGCAAUCCUCACUUUGUUGGCAAUGAGAUUAACCUGCGUGACUGGCGUGUAUCCAGCAGUCCAAGUGCAUUCACAUACUAUACGCUAGUGUCCAAUAAAAUGUUACCACGCGGAAAAUUUGAUAUUGCUGUAUACCAAGUACAUUUUUUGAACAAAGCUGCUGGAAGUGGAUUCGGAAAGAAAAACACAUCAACUAAAAUGAA